UGAGGUAGUAGAUUGUAUAGUUC
rnacentral:ncRNA from 3 species